GCACAACUAGGGCUCAUCUUGAACGGCAGAGGCACACUCUAGUUAUAUCUGUAUUUGUGUGGUUUUGUGUUGCACUUAAAUGUAUUUACAUGUAUCGACGCUUAAGUUAACUAGGAGUAUGGACAUCGUACAUUCUGAAGGGCACCCGGGUGGCUCAGUUGGUUAAGUGUUCAACUUUGGCUCAGAUCAGGAUUUCGCAGUUUGUGCGUUCGAGUCCCGCAUCAGGCUCUCUGCUGACAGCUUGGAGCCCGGACCCUGCUUCAGAUUCUGUGUCUCCUUCUUCUGCCCCUCCUCCUCUUGCACUCUGUCUCUGUCUCUGUCUCUCUCAAAAA